GACGUAGGGGGCGAGCGUUGUCCGGAUUUAUUGGGCGUAAAGAGCGCGUAGGCGGCCCGUUAAGUCGGAUGUGAAAACCCGUGGCUCAACCACGGGCCUGCAUCCGAUACUGGCGGGCUCGAGGUAUGCAGGGGAGAACGGAAUUCCUGGUGUAGCGGUGAAAUGCGCAGAUAUCAGGAGGAACACCGGUGGCGAAGGCGGUUCUCUGGGCAUUACCUGACGCUGAGGAGCGAAAGUGUGGGGAGCGAACAGG
rnacentral:rRNA from 1 species